CCUCUUCGCGAUGAUGAAGUCAUCGCCUACCUCUUGGCUGGCCUCAGCUCGGACUAAGAUCUGUUCGUUACGUCCAUGACCACCAAGAGUGAAGCACUCACCCUCGAUGAUGUGUAUUCGCAUCUGAUGUCCUUUGAGG